UGAGGAAUAUUGCGCAAUGGGGGCAACCCUGACGCAGCGACGCCGCGUGAGUGAGGAAGGCCUUCGGGUCGUAAAGCUCUGUCAAAGGGAAAGAAGUGCAUGGUGGCUAAUACCUGCCAUGUUUGACGGUACCCUUAAAGGAAGCACCGGCUAACUCCGUGCCAGCAGCCGCGGUAAUACGGAGGGUGCAAGCGUUGUUCGGAAUCACUGGGCGUAAAGGGCGCGCAGGCGGUUUGGUAAAUCAGAUGUGGAAGCCCACGGCUUAACCGUGGAAGUGCAUUUGAUACUGCCAGACUUGAGUACCAGAGGGGAAAGUGGAAUUCCCGGUGUAGAGGUGAAAUUCGUAGAUAUCGGGAGGAAUACCGGUGGCGAAGGCGACUUUCUGGCUGAGUACUGACGCUGAGGCGCGAAAGCGUGGGGAGCAAACA
rnacentral:rRNA from 1 species